rnacentral:rRNA from 1 species
UACGUAGGUGGCAAGCGGUGUCCGGAAUUAUUGGGCGUAAAGCGCGCGCAGGCGGUCCUUUAAGUCUGAUGUGAAAGCCCACGGCUCAACCGUGGAGGGUCAUUGGAAACUGGGGGACUUGAGUGCAGGAGAGAAGAGUGGAAUUCCACGUGUAGCGGUGAAAUGCGUAGAGAUGUGGAGGAACACCAGUGGCGAAGGCGACUCUUUGGCCGGUAACUGACGCUGAGGCGCGAAAGCGUGGGGAGCAAACAGG